rnacentral:rRNA from 1 species
GGGUCCGGACACACUGAGGAUUGACAGGCAAUUAUUGCUAACAGUUUCUUUUUUUAAAAGUACUGUUGCAACAACAAAUAUGCUAGUCCUUUCAUGAUUAUGUGAUAGGUGGUGCAUGGCCGUUCUUAGUUCGUGGAGUGAUCUGUCUGCUUAAUUGCGUUUCAUUAUGGACCAUGUUAUAACAUGUACUAUCUCUUGAUUUUCAAAUUUUCAUUUAUUUGAGAUUUGUUAUAAAGAAGGAGUUUUGGUGCAAUUGGUCCUGAAAGCAACGAACGUGACCGCAUCCUCUUGUUGCCUUUUUAACUUGGCAUUUUUUUUAAUUUAUUUUAACAUUUUUGUCAUAACAUAAGAGGCUUUCAGAAAACUAGAGGGACCGCUGCGACUUUUUUAAACCAGAGGAAGGUUGUGGCAAUAACAGGUCUGUGAUGCCCUUAGAUGUUCCGGGCUGCACACGUGCUACAAUGAUUAUUGCAGUGAGCAUCUCAUUUUAUUUUUUGUGCUUGUCUUGUCUGCGAGUUUAUUCUCAACGACGACAGCCUUAGCCUGCUUCGAAAGUUCGCAGGU